AUCAUUUGAGUAAAACGUCAUGUGGAAUGUUUUGACGGGAACAAGUGAAAACUGUGAAGAUAAACGGAAAAUAAAGUAAAAUACAGCACCUGCUUAUCACCUGCCAGAUAAUUAUUGUCUCAUUUUUUGCAGUGCUGCCAAAGGUGAUCCUGUCACUGACAGCGCUCAAGACACGGAAGGAGACCAAAAUGCCUUGGCUUCCAGGAUCCUGUGAAAUUAACAGGGGACAGGGCUGCUCUUUGCGCAGAUUUCUGCCAUGAUGUCCCAAAUAAACCCUGCCUCUUCUUGUCACUCUAGUAUUCUGCUCCCCUGUCAGCUUGGCAGCCAUUUCUCCAAGCAACCACUACAGACUUCCAGAACCCAAAUCAGAACCAGCGCUGUGGCUAUGACAGUGUAGUGGCAGUGUUCAGGAUGGAAACUCUGCAUGAGGAAAGCAAUAGUGACAGUGCUGGAGAUGGAAAUACAGCUGUGGCACACAUCAGUGCAAGGCGUGUCAAUAAACAUUGGGAAGUUCUUCUUACUCCUCAGCAGAAACUUGUCACUCCUGUUGUUUGCUCCAUAGAACAGCAUUUUCAUGUCCAGUUCUGACAUUCAUUUUUCCCGAGCAUCUUUAUAAAUUUAUCACAUACUUAAGUGACUGAGAUUAUUUAUAUACACCAUGUUCCUCAUGUGUGCACCUAUAUUUAAAUAUUUAAGAACAUAAUCCUGGAAAAGUAAUUGGAAAAGUAAUUUCCUUUUUGUAUACCAGCUGCUGAGAUGAUUAAGUCACUACUUAUACAGUACCUUUUAAGUUCUCCAGCUCUCCAGAGAUCUCUUACAUUUGGCAUUAUUUGUAGAAGUGCAAAAUACCUAAUUCCCUUCUAGCUUUACUUAAAAGUUGCAAUCAACUUAUCUUAAAAAAUAUAUUGUUCUUACAAAGAAAACAUAUCAAAACUUCUGGUAUGUUCCACUGCUCCUUUUUUUUUUCUGCACUGCUUUUAAACUGAUUACUAGUCUUUUAUUACAACUCUAGAUGUGGCCCUUAGGGACAUGGCUUAGUGGUGAACCUGGCAGUGCUAGGUUAAUGGUUGGACUUGAUGAUCUUAGAGGUAUUUUCCAACCAAAAUUAUUCUAUGGAAACAAGUAUAACAAAGUACAUUUAAAAGCAUACUUAAAAUAUUUUAAUAACUAUAGUUCAGCAUAGGUGUUGUUUUACUUUGCUUUAUACCAAUACAUUUAAAGAUGCAGGGAAAAUUUUGGCAAAGAUGCGACCAGCAAUCAAAUGCUUCUAGCAUACAGGAUGUCAAGGAAAGUCAGAGAAGUUUGCCCUCACUUGUGCUUAUCAAAAGCCUUCUCUGCAAGAUGUAUCAUGUGGCUUUUGCUAUUAAAAAAAUCACAAUGAUAAGCAGAAAUUGAGAGCGAUUAUCAAAUAUAUCAUUAGUGGAGCUGUGGAUAGAUAGAAGGUAGGAGACUAGAGAUAGUGGUGAAAGUAAUCUCACCCCUAAAGAAUUACAGCUGUGCCAAUUAUCAAGCAUUAAGAACAAGCCUGCCCUUAAUAGGCCACAGCUGGAUCCAGUUAAGGGGGUAUUAUAAAAGAGCAGGUUGGCUGGUUGAGAUGUGAGAUGGUGUUUGUUGGCUGUGCUGAGAAGAAGGAAGAGUUAGUGCUGUGUGGAGCUGCCCAUGAGAAACCACCAAGAAGCUCUCUAGGAUUUCAAGUGGAAGCAGUGUCACUGCCAUCUGUACUUGGGGAAAUGUUUCAACCUUCUUCAAGACCUUUCAGUGGGAAAAUUUGUGAGAGUUAAGAGUCAGUUCUCAGUCAGGUAAUACAGUUUAUUGAAUCAGCUACAGAAGGGUCAAGUGUAAGGCACAACCCCCUGCAGUUCUGAAAAAAGACCUCAUUUGGGGAUAGAGUCAAUCUAAAAACUGAAAUAGGGAAGGAAGCAGAUGAAUUCUGACAAGUAGUGUAGGAAUAUGAAUCAAGGAGGGAAGCUAAAGAUGAAGAAGGAGCUGAUUCAUUGAGGUAGCACAGUAAAUGAAGUUGACCUGCAAACCAGGGGGCAGUUGAGUUUAGGUAUGAUAAGAUACCUGAAUAUCUAGGAGAGCUAAUCUGAUGUAUGAGGACCAAGAAGUGACAGAAGAAAAGGGAAGAACCAAAAUUUUGCAAAAUGUCUAAAUAAAGGAGAUGGAAUUAAAAACAGGGCAAAGUCCUCUUUUUCAAAAAAACCCUUACACCAUGUCCCUGUAACCCUCACACCAUUGUUACUGUAACCUGUAGUUUCCAGGUUACAGACUUCUGUUUUGUUACACAGACUUGUUUCCAUUUAACCAGCCUUGCUAGACACUGAGACAGGUCAUUAGGGAAAAAAAACCCAAACCAACAGAAUAGAAUGAUAUUCAAAUUGUACAUCACAAAGCAAAAUCCAAAAAGGAUAAAACUAAAUAGGUUAAAUAUAAGGUGUUAAUUAUGGCAACCCACAAUUUUAAAUACUUGACUUUGCAAUCACAAUAAUGUUAUUACAAAUUAGUUGUGUGUGCACAGAGUAUAGACAGAAACAUAAACUAUUCUUAUAAAUGAGUCUAUACGAACACUAUGAGCAAUAUAGGAUUUUAAAAUAUUUAAACAAUAAAUUAAGUAGUCUUAGAUAUAUAUAUUUUAUUAUGUUAAAAAAAUGCUUU